rnacentral:rRNA from 1 species
UACAGGGGGUGCAAACGUUGCUCGGAAUCAUUGGGCGUAAAGCGCACGUAGGCGGUUCGUUAUGUCGGAUGUGAAAGCCCUUGGCUUAACCGAGGAAGUGCAUCCGAAACUGGCGAGCUAGAGUACUAAAGAGGAUCGCGGAAUUCCCGGUGUAGAGGUGAAAUUCGUAGAUAUCGGGAGGAACACCGGUGGCGAAGGCGGGUCUCUGGGCCAAAACUGACGCUGAGGAGCGAAAGCGUGGGGAGCGAACAGG